rnacentral:lncRNA from 1 species
CGGGGAGGCAGGCGAGCGGUGUCUGCAGAGCCCCUGCUGCGAUGGGCCCUGUGCCAGCACCCGCUCAAGCCGUGCGGUAGCAGCUGUGGCUGGCGGCUCCGGGGUACUCCCGUGUGCCUCUGUGGGGUGGUUUUGGCUGAAGAGGACUGUGGCAGAGAGUGGUUACCUAGAGGUGUCCGGGUCUUGACCUUAAAGCUUUCUGUGUUUAACAGGUCUUGCAAAUCUCUUGGUUUCUUUAGUGCCCUAUGCAGUAGGGAGAAGAAAGGUAUUUCAAAAGGUGGUGUGUUGGACAACGGCUUCCUACAGAAUACUGGGACUGCAGUUGUUAGUGCUGUUUUAUGCUGCGGAAUAAUAUUGGUUAUAACUAUAAUAGGAUCCCUCGCUGGGCAACCCGAAGGUCUGGACUCUGCGCUGACCACGAGGAAGGUCUUGCGUACAACAGAGUGCACUGAUACUUCGAUGGGAGUUUCAACUAAAAAUAUUUCAGUGAGAACAAAGAGUGWGAUGGGGACAGACAGCUCACCAGAAAAGCAAAUUCAGUUAUCAAGAGACUGACUUCAGUGAAGAGUCCUGCUGUCAACUUACUGUGACCCAGCAAAAUUUGGAUUGACAAAAGCAUUGAGAAGCAAACAUGGCUUGAGAGCAGGGUUAUUAAAACGCAC